GUGUCCGUCGAGUUCGAGUGUCGAGUCAAGUCAGCCUGUGUCUGGGCUUCAGAAAAUUGCAAAGGGAAAAAAGCCUUGCAAGCCAAAGUGAUUAAAGUACUGCAGUUUGAUGCAACGCCGCUGACCGUACAGCUAGUUUGGAUUGUUCCCCGUCGUGAUUCCGACGGACAAACCCAACUCCGUAGUGGUUCCGUCGUUCGAAAGUGUGUGCUAGUUCAUACAGAUCGUAUCGGAGAGGUUAGUUACCUAGCCAGUCAGUGCGCGGUGAUAAAAGGCGAAAAUGUUAGUGCAGCAGCAGGCCGCGGAGGUUCGGAAGCUUCCAGCCAACUAGAUUCAGCUUGAGGUGCAGUUUUGUUCUGUCAAAUUCUAGGGGAUUCUAGGGGCCAACUAGUUGCUUGGAAGUGCAUUAGUGGGGGCGAUAAUUUUCAGUUUCUGCUUUCUGGCUAGGAAAAUUUGCAAGCCUAGCCUUGUCGAGUACAGUGAGCGAGAGAAGAGGGUGUAUUUUCCAAAGCGUGAAAAAUUUUUUUUGUUGGGGAGUGUGAGUUUUCCGUCGUUUAUUAGACAGAGCAGCUCCAAACUUGCCCGAAACAAGACAGUGUGCUUGUGUACGUGAAUUUAUUCUACAAAGUGCGUACGGGAAAGUCUGAGAGGACACCGUGCAGUAAGCAGCAGCAGCGAAGAGGAAAAUUCGAAACAAAAACGAAGGUUUUUUCACGGUGUUCGUUUUCCCACCAUACAGCCGCCGCAGUCCAGGGUUCACAAGUGGAAGUGAAAACUUUCCCCCCUGGAUAGCCAGUGUGUGUGAGAGAGAGGGAGCGAAAGAGAGCGAAAAUAGUAACAUUUUCGGGAAGAAGUUAAUUGAAAAGUGAUUCAUUAUUGUUAUUAUUGCCAGUCGAAGUUGGGACCACCUACCAAUCGCCCGUGCCGCCCACCACCCUGCCAUCGAGUGGGGUAAGAUCAACGUGAAAAAAUCUCGCAUCCGAAAGGUUUGAAACCUUUGCCAUCGACCAGCAGAACUCUAGAGGGUCUAUCUCUCUAGCUAGCGCUUCGUUCGAGCUAUUUCAAGAUCUCAAAACAGUAUUCCCCCGCCCCGUAAGCCAUGACCAAAAAGUUCGAAUUCAACUGGCAGAUUCCAGUUCCGGAGGCGCUGAAAAAUGGGUGCGUCUUCGACCGGUGGACCGAGGAGAAGGACAACAACGAAUUCGAGCCAGCGUGUAUGUUUAAGGUGGACGAAUAUGGAUUCUUCGUGUACUGGAAGAGCGAAGGAAAGGAAGGCGACGUGAUCGAGCUUUGCCAAGUCAGUGAUAUUCGCGCUGGAGGGGUGCCGAAGGAAAUGAAACUGUUCAAUCAACUGGUCAACAAGCACGGAGACAACGUGGAGGAAAAAUCACUAACCAUCUGCUCCGGCACAGAUUACAUCAACAUCAACAUGCAGCACGUGGUCUGCCCGGAUGCGGCCACUGCCAAGAUCUGGGUUGAUGGACUGCGGAAAAUUACCCACAAUGGCAAAGCGAACAAUUUUUGCCCCAUGACUGCGCUCAAGAAGCAUUGGAUGAGACUGGGCUUUCUGGUGGCUCCAAGUGGUAAAGUUCCGGUGAAAGUGGUGGCCAGAACAUUUGCGUCCGGUAAAACGGAAAAACUGGUCUACCAAAUUCUGUCCGACCUGGGUCUGCCCAGUGGAAAGAACGAUGCCAUCGAAAGAGCCGAUUUCACGUUCGAGAAGUUCUACGAACUGUACCACAAGAUCUGCCCCAGGAAUGACAUCGAGGAGCUGUUUCGCGCCGUUACGCAGGGCAAAGCAAAUGCCAUCAAUCUGGAUCAGUUUAUAAACUUCCUCAACGAGAAGCAGCGCGAUCCUCGGCUGAAUGAAAUUCUCUACCCAUUGUACGACGAGAAGCGAGCACUGGAAAUCAUCAACACCUACGAGCAGGAUGAGACAGCUCGCGAAGGAAAAAGCCUCACCAAAGACGGCCUCAUUCGGUACUUGAUGUCCGACGAGAAUGCGCCGGUAUUUCUGGACCGGCUGGACAUCUACAUGGACAUGGACCAGCCGCUGUCGCAUUACUACAUCAACUCGUCUCACAAUACGUACCUGUCCGGGCGUCAGUUCGGCGGAAAAAGUUCGGUCGAAAUGUACCGCCAGACGCUGCUGGCCGGCUGUCGGUGCGUCGAGCUGGACUGCUGGGACGGCAAGGGCGAGGAUGAGGAACCGAUUAUCACCCACGGUAUGGCCAUGUGUACUGAUAUUCUGUUUAAGGACGUGAUAUAUGCCCUUCGUGAUACGGCGUUCGUCACCUCGGACUACCCUGUGAUUCUUUCGUUCGAAAACCACUGCUGCCGAACGCAGCAGUAUAAGCUUGCAAAGUACUGUGAUGAAAUUCUCGGUGAUCUGCUGCUGAAGGAGCCACUGCCUGAUUAUCCGCUGGAACCGGGUGCUCCGCUGCCGCCGCCCUCAGCGCUGAAGCGCAAAAUUAUGAUCAAAAACAAAAGACUUAAGCCGGAGGUGGAAAAGCGCGAGCUGGAACUGUUCCUGCAGGGCGAACUCGUGGUGGAGGAUGAAAUCAAAGAGGACGCCAGUGCGGUUCGAAAAGCCGAACCAACCGAGGAGGCAGCGGCUGCGGCACCGACGGCUGCCUCGCAGGAAGGCGGUGAAGGUGGUGAGGUUCCUGCCGUACAGUAUACCGGUUCGACGACCAACGUUCACCCGUGGCUGUCGUCGAUGGUAAACUACGCCCAGCCGAUCAAAUUCCAGUCGUUCGACUAUGCGGACAACAAAAACAUUCAUCACAAUAUGUCUUCGUUUGCGGAAACUACCGGCAUGAAUUUGCUGAAACAACAGGCUAUUGAUUUUGUGAACUACAACAAACGUCAGAUGUCGCGCAUCUAUCCGAAGGGCACCCGAGCUGAUUCGUCCAACUACAUGCCGCAGGUGUUCUGGAACGCCGGUUGUCAGAUGGUGUCGCUGAACUUUCAAACUUCCGAUCUUCCCAUGCAACUCAAUCAGGGCAAGUUCGAGUACAAUGGUAACUGCGGCUAUCUGCUGAAGCCGGAUUUCAUGCGGCGAGCCGAUCGAAGUUUCGAUCCUUUUGCCGAUGCUCCGGUCGACGGUGUGAUUGCCGCCUCCUGUGCCGUACAGGUUAUUGCUGGUCAAUUCUUGUCGGACAAAAAAAUCGGUACAUAUGUGGAAGUGGACAUGUACGGUUUACCGUCGGAUACAGUUCGAAAGGAGUUUCGAACUCGUCUAGUGCCGGCUAAUGGUCUCAACCCGGUCUACAAUGAAGAACCGUUCCUGUUUCGUAAAGUUGUUCUGCCUGAUCUGGCUGUACUUCGAUUCGGAGUGUACGAUGAAAACGGUAAGUUACUCGGACAGCGAAUCCUCCCAUUGGAUGGUCUACAAGGUGGCUACCGGCAUAUUUCGCUCCGUACCGAAGCUAACUUCCCGAUGUCACUCCCGAUGUUGUUCUGUAACAUUGAACUUAAGAUCUACGUCCCGGAUGGAUUCGAAGACUUCAUGGAUGCCCUGUCGGAUCCGCGAGCCUUCAUGGGUGCCGCCAAGGAACGGUCGGAUAACAUGAAGGCCAUGGGAAUCGAAGAGUCCAGCUCCGGUGCCGCUGCCGAUGCGUCCAAGGGUGUUAAGAAGGAAGAACCAACCGAACCGCCGCUGGUGUUCGAUCCGAUUACGGUUGAAUCCCUGCGGCAGGAGAAGGGAUUCCAGAAGACGGCCAAGAAGCAGCAGAAGGAACUGGAUAGCGUGAAGAAGAAGCACGCGAAGGAACGGAUGGGUGUGCAGAAGCAGCAGAAUGCUGCCAUCGAGCGGUUGGUUAAAGGAAAGAGUAAAGAGGAAAUCAAAGCAGACUCGGCUAUUCGUAAGGUGAUUCAGGAGCAAAAUUCCCAAUGGGGUGAGAUGAUCGAGCGACACAAGAAGGAGGAGUGGGAUUUGCUGAAGCAGCAGCUCGACGAUCAGAAGGAUAUCCUGCGAAAGCUGAUGGAAACAACCCAGGCGGCUCAGAUGAAGCAGCUGGAAGCCAAACACGAGCGAGAUAUCAAAGCGUUGAACAGCCAGCAGGCGAAAAUUUCCGUCGAAACGUCCAAGGAGGUGGCGAACGAUAAAACACUGAAGACCAAGGGCGAGAAGGACCGUCGGUUGCGCGAGAAGAAGCAAAACAAUAUCAAGCGGUUUAUGGAUGAGAAAAAGACGGCCCAAAUCAAGCAGAACCGCGAGAAGGAAAAGCUGAAGGUGACCCACGACAAGCAGCUGGAGGAGCUGGACAGCGACGUUCAGAAGGUACAGAACGGUUACCGGGAGAUAGUGACGCUAGAAACGGUGGUAUAGCAAUCACUGCAUAGUAGUUUAGAGUGCGUGUGCGAGUGCGAACGCUCGCCGCCACCGGAAAGCCCACCGACACCGACAACGGCAACGCUGGACUCGUUGGUUCGCCGUUGCUCGUUGCCGCCAGCGAACCAACAACACUCGGGGGGUCUUCUGUCGCGAUGCUGGGCUUGGUUCUCGAACAGAAGGAAACGGAAAUCCCGACAGUGAUUGAUUCUAGUUGUUGUUGGUUCCGGAUUCAUUCUGGAAGCAAAAGCAGUGCUUUUUGUCGCCAAGCUGAUCUGUGUUAUCGAUUAGUUCGUUCUUUAGUUUUUGGUUUAGUAGAUUAUUUGAUUUUAUUUCGGUUCGUUAAUUUAAUUUCGUUAGUAGCGCAUAUUAGUAGUUGGCCAGUCGAGGUAAAUUGAAUUGACGUGAAAAUAGUUUAUUAGCAGAUGUCACGCGUACCUUAGACUCUUUCAUGUUACUAUUUAUUCGUGUUUGUGUUUAACGUUAAAUCAAGCUGGAUCUUCAUUUUCGCUGCAAUCAACUUAUCGACAUGUACAAGAUCGAUGAGGAGGAGUACAAGAUGACCAGCAAGAUGGAGUUUUAUGCCUGAGAGUUUAUCACGGAGCAACCAGAAACCUCCUAAAACUACCGGCCGAACUGAGCUCUUAGAAUAAGAUUAAAAAAAAAAGAUAAAAACAAAACAGAAACAACUAACUUUUUUGCAACAGCAACAACAACAACAACAACCUAAACAACAAACAAACAAACAAAAAAUGGUAAAAAAUUCUACAGUAGUUUGUGGAAGCAACUAUUAGAUGAUAUGAAUACGAGAAACCCCAUAUUUUAGGAAAAUCUUACUUGUGCUCCACCACUAUCAUGGCAAAAAUGUAUCAUUUUGAGCAAGGGAGAAUCUAGGAGAACCAAAUGAAAACAGAAACAGUAGCGCGUAGAAUAUUAUACUAGUGUAAGAAAAUUGUGAAACCAACAUUUACCGUAAAAUAGCAUACUUUAGCCGAAAAUGGAAUCGUAAAAGUGAGAUUAGUUGUUUCUACUAGCCAAUGUGCUUUUAAUUUUCGUUGAAAAAAAAAUUGUGGAAACUCUGUUCCCGUCUAUUAAAUAUUUAUGUUGUUUGCCUUAGCAUUGUUAAGUUUCGGAAGCUUUCAACUGCUGUGUUUCAUUGUCUAGUUGGAAAUAUAGCAAGUCAAUUAGGGAAUAAAAAGCUUUAAUUUAUUAUUUUAUUUUCUUAACCAGUAACCAGAAAAGAAGCAAUUUUAUUGUCAGAUUUUCUGAAAGCAAUCAAAAGUGUUAUAAAUUUGGCAAACCAAAGUAUUCCACCACACAAUUGGCAACCAGGCUGAAGGUAAACUAAUUAUAAACAUGAUAACCCCAAAGUAUAGAACAACACGGUAUAUCAUAUAUAGUACUUUUUAAAUUUAUUGAUGCUAAUUGAUAUAAACGUUAUAAACUGACAAAAACCAAAUUUUAAAGAAAGUUAAAGAAGAAGAAAGCGUAGAUUAAGAGAAAAAGAACAAAGAAGUAUUCAACCAAAGUAGAACCAACCCUUCUCCCACCCUGUGUCCUUACAAAGAAAAAAGUUCCUUCGUCGUAGUAGGCUGAUGAGAUACCAAACACACGGAAACAUGGUCACCCUUUCUUCCCAUUCUUCCUGUCUUUCUCUUUUUCACUUUCUCUAUUAUCCAUCUCCAUAAUCGAAAAAAAAAACAUCGCGAAGAAGGAAUAAAAAACGAACUGCUGCUAGGAUUAACGCAAACUUGACAUAAAAACUGAAACAAAAAUCAUGAGUGCCUAUAAUGCAAAACAAAAAUCAUCCCUUUAAACUUUUUACGAACCAUCACAGGGGCGCGAUUGUGUGUGCGUCGUUGCGUGAUGAUGAUCGAUUCCGAAGAAGAAAAAACAAUCUUUCCGUUCCGAAAGAUAUGAUACUAGGAUAAACACACAAUCACACUCGUCUUAAUUGCACCACCCAAACAAACAACACAUGCAACAUUCAGUCAGAACAAAACAUUCAACGAAGUUUUCCCCUAAUUGUCAAAAAAAAAACAUUACGUAAAGGUGAAACCUUUUUUUUUCUCUGAACAAGAAACAAGAAAAACCACAUAUUCUAGUCGUUAAAUUUUAAGCAAACAUGAAGAAACACUUAUAAAAGAUAUAAAAACAAACUAAAACUGAUGAUGAUGAUGAUUUAGAGUAGUAACAUAACGAACUUGUGAUAAGUUCUAGCCACUAAAGAACAAAACAACACAGCAACACAACACAUUGUUCCAAGUAAUCAAGUGAUUGGAAAAUUUAGUAUUAUUAACUCUACCGUGUUAAAAUACGGGAAAAACUGAAACUGAUAAAAUCAAAGUGUAGAAUAUUUCGCGCUCCCGCUUCGCGGGAAGAUAACUAAGGCGCAUCCUAAAAAUCAACAAAAAAAAAACGAUGUAGUAGAGCAAAACAAAACAGGAGGAAGGAGGUAUGUUCAUUCCUUAUUGAUGAUGAUGAAGAAGAUGAUAAUGAUGACGGGGCGGCAGGCAAUUUGUUGGAUGGAUCUCAAAUUAUGAUGCUUUGUUUUUUACUAUACUGUCUCUUUUUUGUAAAAUUCCAUCCUCAAAUCAAACCGGAAACAGUGGACCGAACGCAGGUGGAACUUUUGCCAUGAAUCGUGUCUGUAGAUCGUGACGUUACAGCA